rnacentral:rRNA from 1 species
UACGAAGGGGGCUAGCGUUGCUCGGAAUUACUGGGCGUAAAGCGCACGUAGGCGGCUUUGUAAGUUAGAGGUGAAAGCCCAGGGCUUAACCCUGGAAUUGCCUUUAAGACUGCAUCGCUAGAAUUGUGGAGAGGUAAGUGGAAUUCCGAGUGUAGAGGUGAAAUUCGUAGAUAUUCGGAAGAACACCAGUGGCGAAGGCGACUUACUGGACACAUAUUGACGCUGAGGUGCGAAAGCGUGGGGAGCAAACAGG